rnacentral:tRNA from 1 species
ACCUGGGUGGCUCAGUUGAGUAUCUGACUUUGGCUCAGGUCAUGAUCUCACGGUCUGUGGGUUCGAGCCCCACGUCAGGCU